AUUGAACGCUGGCGGCAGGCCUAACACAUGCAAGUCGAACGAGUGGCGGACGGGUGAGUAAUGUCUGGGAAACCGCCUGAUGGGGGGGGAUAAACAGUGGAAAAGGUAUCUAACACCGUAUACUCUGGGAUGUGCCUAUAUGGGAUUAGCUUGUAGGUGGGGUAAAGGCUCACCUAGGCGACGACCCCUAGCUGGUCAGAGAGGAUGACCAGCCACACUGGAACUGAGACACGGUCCAGAGUCCUACGGGAGGCAGCAGUGGGGAAUAUUGGGCAAUGGACGCAAGCCUGAUGCAGCCAUGCCGCGUGGAUGAAGAAGGCCUUCGGGUGGUAAAGUACUUUCAGCGGGGAAGCGGUACCCGAAGAGAAAGCCCCGGCUAACUACGUGCCAGCAGCCGCGGUAAUAC
rnacentral:rRNA from 1 species